rnacentral:lncRNA from 1 species
GGAAUUAGGGUUCCUCUUUCGAGGCCAUUCGAGCUUUUGAGGCUAGGGUCAGAAGGUUUAGGGUUUUGGGUAUAAUUUGGGUGAAGAUUUUGUGUGAUUUCGAGUUUUUAUGGAAAAGAUAUGAAUGUUCAAAGAUAAGGUGUCAAUUUCGUACCUACUGUCACUUCUUUUGGGCAUCACAUACGAAUACGGAGAGCAACGGAAGAUCGGCGACUGGAUUUGGAGGGAGCAUUUUCUCGGCUACACAUUCUACUUACUGUAUAGUGAAUUCUAAGAUUGGGUGAAGGAGUUAUGAGGUGUUGAAGACAGCACUUGUAAUUUGAAGGCAGUAAGCAUGUCGUUUUGUUGCUAGUUAUGGGUGAAGCCAUAUCUUGAGUUUCUGGACGAAUUUUUGGCUCAAAAUUUCCACAAGUGUGUGUAAUUGGGUUAAGAAGCUUUAGAUCAAAGUUUCAUAUUAUUUGAAUAAUUACUUUGUGAGAUAUGAAGGAAGUUGUACACGGGUGUAAAAAAGCUAGGGUUUGAAGCUACAGUUAGGGUUUUCAAGAUAUCACAAGAUCCAAGACGAAUUUACGGUUGAAUUUUGGUGUGGUAGUUGCUAAAGAUAUAUCAGUACUCCAUGUAAAAUUUGGAGUUGUUUAGACGGUUAGAUCGUAAGUUAUGAGCUGUUGAACUUCGGGAAAAAUUCCUUAUAAGGAUAUAUAAGUUUUUUAUAACACCUUAUCAAGUAUUUUGGUGUUCUUUGGAUUUUAAGGCUUGUAUAUUGAUGUAAUUGCUCCAAAGGAGAGGAGUUUAUAUAUAUAAAAUUGUUACCCUUGUAUUUCAAACUUGAUUGAGUAUUUAGUGACAGCUAGAAG